AUGAAAGUUUAACACUGAAAACUACUCACUUAAACGAAGCUCACUUACUGGACAACGACAACGAUAGUAUGUGUUUACUCAACCAUGAGGAAUGUGUAGAUCAAUUGUCUAGACAUUUAAAUACACCCAGUAAAUUGAUCACUCCUAUAGGUAAACUGAGAAAAGCGAUACACAAAUGGAAACAAGAUGGACGACUGAUAAUAUUUCAAAGGUUUAAAAAUUGAGAAGUCUGUACAGGAAGCUGUAGAGGACAAUAGGAUUGAAGAUGGACACCCGUUACAUAAUUUAGUGAAGAGUUUUUCUACAUGCUUACUUGAUGCCAGAUGUGAAAUGACUAUCAAAGAAAGAUCUUUCCUGCACACAAAAUAAAAGAAUUUACAGACAUUAAGAUGUUACAAAAGACAAUCACUGACGAGUUUCCUCACUUUGGACGAGGAUAUGCACAUGUGGCGGAGUUAAACAGGUUUUUUUUCUAUAUUAACCACCCCCUACCAAAUCUUGAUUAGUGGAGUAACAAAAAGAUUCAUAAAAGACUUUGUUAGAUUAUCUAUGGAACUCAGAAAUUUAAUAUCGUUGUCAUAUUUCGUUAGUAAUCUAAAAAAAAAACAAAAAGACAUAUCUUAGACACCAACGCAAAUGUGGGAGAGAAAAAGUGAUAAAUUAUAUAUGCUAGCAUCAAUUGUAGGCAAAUAUAUUGCAUGAUUAUUGUU